rnacentral:rRNA from 1 species
CGCGGCCUAUCAGCUUGUUGGUGGUGUAACGGACCACCAAGGCAACGACGGGUAGCGGGCCUGAGAGGGUGGCCCGUCACACUGGGACUGAGACACUGCCCAGACUCCUACGGGAGGCAGCAGUCGAGAAUCUUCCGCAAUGGACGCAAGUCUGACGGAGCGACGCCGCGUGUAGGACGAAGGCCCUUGGGUUGUAAACUACUGUCACGAGUCAUGAAUGGGUAGGCGUUAAUAGCGCCUGCAUUGACGUAAGCUCGAGAGGAAGCACCGGCUAACUCUGUGCCAGCAGCCGCGGUAACACAGAGGGUGCAAACGUUGUUCGGAAUCACUGGGCAUAAAGCGCACGUAGGCGGCUUGGUAAGUGUGAAGUGAAAGCCCACGGCUCACCCGUGGAAUUGCCUUGCAUACUGCCUGGCUCGAGGACGGUAGGGGAGAGCAGAACUCCUGGAGGAGCGGUGAAAUGCGUAGAUAUCAGGAGGAAUACCAGUGGCGAAGGCGGCUCUCUGGUCCGUUUCUGACGCUGAGGUGCGAAAGCUAGGGUAGCGAACGGGAUUAGAUACCCCGGUAGUCCUAGCCGUAAACGAUGGGCACUAACUAGAGGUCUCCUGUUUGAUCUCUGGUGAAGCAAAUGUGUUAAGUGCCCCGCCUGGGGAGUACGG